AAGUGCAUGAACUUAAUUUUGCCUUCGUAUCCUCUUGGAAUUUAGAGGAAUCAAAGUUUUCAUUUCUUUUACUUACCUUUUUCUAAUAAUUUUAUGAUAAAAUUUGAUAAUUAAAAAAAAGUAUAAAAGAAAAAAUUAAAAUAGAGAGUAUUAAAAAUUUUAUUGAGUAUAUAAAAUAAUGAUUAAUUAAGAUAUUAUUGAAAAUUUUAAUGAGCGUAUAAAAUAAUAAAGUAGAGAAAU
rnacentral:misc_RNA from 1 species